GUGCCAGCCGCCGCGGUAAUACGUAGGUGGCGAGCGUUAUCCGGAAUUAUUGGGCGUAAAGGGAGCGUAGGCGGUUUAUUAAGUCUAAGGUGAAAGUUCGGGGCUCAACCCCGUGAUGCCUUAGAAACUGGUAGACUUGAGUACAGGAGAGGUGAGUGGAAUUCCAUGUGUAGCGGUAAAAUGCGUAGAUAUAUGGAGGAACACCAGUGGCGAAGGCGGCUCACUGGCCUGUAACUGACGCUGAGGCUCGAAAGCGUGGGGAGCAAAUAGGAUUAGAUACCCUAGUAGUCCACGCCGUAAACGAUGGAUACUAAGUGUUGGACGGAAGUUCAGUGCUGCAGUUAACGCAAUAAGUAUCCCGCCUGGGGAGUAUGCGCGCAAGCGUAAAACUCAAAGGAAUUGACGGGGGCCCGCACAAGCGGUGGAGUAUGUGGUUUAAUUCGAAGCAACGCGAAGAACCUUACCAGGUCUUGACAUCUUCUGAUAACCUAAGAGAUUAGGUGUUCCCUUCGGGGACAGAAUGACAGGUGGUGCAUGGUUGUCG
rnacentral:rRNA from 1 species